rnacentral:rRNA from 1 species
GUGGGGAAUCUUGCGCAAUGGGCGAAAGCCUGACGCAGCAACGCCGCGUGGGGGAUGAAGGCUCUCGGGUUGUAAACCCCUUUCAGCAGGGACGAAUCAAGACGGUACCUGCAGAAGAAGCCCCGGCUAACUACGUGCCAGCAGCCGCGGUAACACGUAGGGGGCAAGCGUUGUCCGGAUUUAUUGGGCGUAAGGAGCUCGUAGGUGGCUGAGUAAGCCGGAUGUCAAAUCCCCAGGCUCAACCUGGGAUCCCAUCCGCUACUGCGCUGGCUAGAGUCCGGUAGGGGAGCGUGGAAGUCCUGGUGUAGCGGUGAAAUGCGCAGAUAUCAGGAGGAACACCAGCGGCGAAGGCGGCGCUCUGGGCCGGUACUGACACUGAGGAGCGAAAGCGUGGGUAGCAAACAGGAUUAGAUACCCCGGUAGUCC